UGCAUCGGUCUAUCCAGAUCGAUCACCAUCCUUAUGAUGAUUCUAUGAUCAGGAGUAUUUAAGAAUUAAAUACAUAUUUCUAAUUCUCAACUCUUUGAGAAUAUGUAUCGAAAGUUAAUUUCAUAGACGAUUCAAGAACACAUCACACUUGAAUGAAAAAUAAACUUAUCUCUUUUUAUUGAUCAAAUCAAUAUAUUAAAUAUAAAAUUAUAUCCCAGAUUAAUUACAAUAUGUC
rnacentral:lncRNA from 1 species